GCUUGGGCUCAGGCUUAGGCUCCGGUAUCGGCAUCGGUUCGGGCUUUGGUUCUGGCUAGGGCUCAGGCUUAGGCUCAGGUUUUGGUUUUGGCAUGGGCUCAGGUUUUGGUUCAGGCUUAGGCUCCGGCUUAGGCUCAGGCUUAGGUUUUGGUUCUGGCUUGGGCUCCGGUUUUGGCAGUGGUUCAGGCUUGGGCUCAGGCUCGGGUUUUGGUUCAGGCUUAGGCUCAGGUUUUGGCUUUGGCUCAGGCUUUUUUGGCUUUGGCUUUGGUUCAGGCAUAGGCUUGGGCAUCGGUUCGGGUUUGGGCUUUGGCUCUGGCUUCGUUAUGGGUUUAGGUUGAGGCUCAGGUUUAGGUUCAGGUUUCGGCGAAGGCUCUGGAUGAGGCUCAGUUUUUGGCUCUGGACGUGGCUUGGGCUCUGGUUUAGGUUCAGGUUUGGGCUCUGGCUGUGGCAGGGGCUGCGGCUGAGGCUGGGGUUCCGGUUUGGGUUGUGGCUCCGGCUGCGGCAGCUCGGCGGCAGCACGUCCAUGCUUGCGCGCGAAGCGGCCGCCAUGGCCAAGCCCGACGCCGGCAGCCGCCGCUUCGUCGACGAAGAAG
rnacentral:lncRNA from 1 species